CAAGCAGAGGAUCCAGCCCAGGUCACCGUUCUAGAUGAUCAGGACCCAGCGGUGAACCAGAUAGAUGUGUUUUUCUUCUCUCAUGGAGCAUUCUAGAGGGAAACAGAGAAUAAGAGAGUAACAAAUGCAAUAUAAGUAACAUAGCCUUGAUUAC